GGCGGCGUGCCUAAUACAUGCAAGUCGAGCGGACAGAUGGGAGCUUGCUCCCUGAUGUUAGCGGCGGACGGGUGAGUAACACGUGGGUAACCUGCCUGUAAGACUGGGAUAACUCCGGGAAACCGGGGCUAAUACCGGAUGGUUGUUUGAACCGCAUGGUUCAAACAUAAAAGGUGGCUUCGGCUACCACUUACAGAUGGACCCGCGGCGCAUUAGCUAGUUGGUGAGGUAACGGCUCACCAAGGCAACGAUGCGUAGCCGACCUGAGAGGGUGAUCGGCCACACUGGGACUGAGACACGGCCCAGACUCCUACGGGAGGCAGCAGUAGGGAAUCUUCCGCAAUGGACGAAAGUCUGACGGAGCAACGCCGCGUGAGUGAUGAAGGUUUUCGGAUCGUAAAGCUCUGUUGUUAGGGAAGAACAAGUACCGUUCGAAUAGGGCGGUACCUUGACGGUACCUAACCAGAAAGCCACGGCUAACUACGUGCCAGCAGCCGCGGUAAUACGUAGGUGGCAAGCGUUGUCCGGAAUUAUUGGGCGUAAAGGGCUCGCAGGCGGUUUCUUAAGUCUGAUGUGAAAGCCCCCGGCUCAACCGGGGAGGGUCAUUGGAAACUGGGGAACUGAGGCAGAGUAGGAGAGAAGGAAUUCCACGUGUAGCGGUGAAAUGCGUAGAGAUGUGGAGGAACACCAGUGGCGAAGGCGACUCUCUGGUCUGUAACUGACGCUGAGGAGCGAAAGCGUGGGGAGCGAACAGGAUUAGAUACCCUGGUAGUCCACGCCGUAAACGAUGAGUGCUAAGUGUUAGGGGGUU
rnacentral:rRNA from 1 species